UGCGGGGUGGAGAAGUGGUAUCUCGUCGGGCUCAUAACCCGAAGAUCGCGGGUUCGAGUCCCGCCCCCGCUA
rnacentral:tRNA from 1 species